rnacentral:rRNA from 1 species
UGUUUCGGCUAGGGGGUCAUCCCGACUUACCAACCCGAUGCAAACUGCGAAUACCGAAGAAUGUUAUCACGGGAGACACACGGCGGGUGCUAACGUCCGUCGUGAAGAGGGAAACAACCCAGACCGCCAGCUAAGGUCCCAAAGUCAUGGUUAAGUGGGAAACGAUGUGGGAAGGCACAGACAGCCAGGAUGUUGGCUUAGAAGCAGCCAUCAUUUAAAGAAAGCGUAAUAGCUCACUGGUCGAGUCGGCCUGCGCGGAAGAUGUAACGGGGCUAAACCAUGCACCGAAGCUGCGGCAGCGACACUAUGUGUUGUUGGGUAGGGGAGCGUUCUGUAAGCCGUUGAAGGUGUAUCGUGAGGUAUGCUGGAGGUAUCAGAAGUGCGAAUGCUGACAUAAGUAACGAUAAUGCGGGUGAAAAACCCGCACGCCGGAAGACCAAGGGUUCCUGUCCAACGUUAAUCGGGGCAGGGUGAGUCGACCCCUAAGGCGAGGCCGAAAGGCGUAGUCGAUGGGAAACAGGUUAAUAUUCCUGUACUUGGUGUUACUGCGAAGGGGGGACGGAGAAGGCUAUGUUAGCCGGGCGACGGUUGUCCCGGUUUAAGCAUGUAGGCGGAGGUUCCAGGUAAAUCCGGUACCUUUUUAACGCUGAGGUGUGAUGACGAGGCACUACGGUGCUGAAGUAACAAAUGCCCUGCUUCCAGGAAAAG